rnacentral:rRNA from 1 species
AGUAGGGGCCUCGGCCCCCAAAGGCACGUUUCGUUGACUAAGACACCGCGGCGGAAGGGUCGCGGUGGCCGCCUUGAAGUAUAAUUUCCAUCGAUCGGCGGGUAGAAUCCCUUGCAGAUGACCUAAAUUUGCAACGGGGUAUUGUAAGUGGCAGAGUCGCCUUGCUGCCACGAUCUACCAAGAUUCAGCCCUUUGUCGCUCCGGUUCGUCCCUCCCCCUCCAAUCCAACCAUCUUGCCGCCCGUCUCCAAAGGAGGUUUGUGCAUCCGUCCUUGAAAAAUCCCACCAAGUGUUGCGAGUUCACCUCACCCGAGUUAGCCUCUUGUUUUUCAAGCGUCGCGUGCAUUCCAUUUCGAACAGUUAAGCAUACGAUAUCAAGUGGCCUUUCGCAAAAAAUAACGGCAUCGCAACUAGAGGUUUUUCGCGAUGCGGAGUGUGGCAUAAGUGCUCAGCGACGCACCGAGAACAACAUCGGUGCGUGGAGGCAUGCCGCAAUUAGAGAUUUUUGUGACCGUCGAGUGCAAUGCUGGAGACGCCUCCAAUGACGAACGCCAUCGAACGUAUAGUGGCCUGCCAUGGUGGUGUCUUUGUCAAGUAGGAUAUCCGUGCACCGUGUGCACCAUGGCAUCGUGACACCAUGGAACCAUGGCACCAAGACACCAUGGCACCAUGGCACCAACGAAGCUUGGCACCGUGGCGCCAUGGCACCAUGGCACCAAGGUAGCAAGGCACCAUGGCACCCAGGCACCAAGGCACCGUGGCGCCAUGGAACCGUGGCACCAAGGCGGCGCGGCACCAUGGCACAAAGGCACCAUGGCACCGUGGCACCGUGGCACCAUGGCACACAGGCACCAAGGACUGUGGCACCCUGAAAUCGGCGGGANAGCCUCAGGAAGAUUUAUCUUUUCUAUCUAACAGCCUGCCUACCCUGGAAUCGGCUCAGCCGGAGGUAGGGUACAGCGGCUAGAAGAACACCGCACGUCACGUGGUGUUCGGUGCUCUCCCGGUGGCCCUUGAAAAUUCAGAGGACCGAAUGAAUUCCACGCCGGGUCGUACUAAUAACUGCAUUAGGUUUCCAAGGUGAACAGCCUCUGGUCGAUGGAAUAAUGUAGGUAUGAAAAGUCGGCAAAAUGGAUCCGUAACUUCGGGAAACGGAUUGGCUCUGAGGGCUAGGCACAGGGGCCCCAGUCCCGAACCCGUUGGCUGUCGGUGGACUGCUCGAGAUACUCCCAUGGUGAGAACGGGUAGCCGCAUGCUGAUCGGGGGACGGACUGGGAACGGUUCCUUCGGAGACAUUCCCAGCGCGUCGAACAGCCAACUCAAAACUGGUACAGACAAGGGGAAUUCGACUGUUUAAUUAAAAAAAGCAUUGCGAUGGUCCCAACGGAGGUUCACGCAAUGUGAUUUCUGCCCAGUGCUCUGAAUGUCAAAGUAAAUAAAUUCAACCAAGCGCGGGUAAACGGCGAGAGUAACUAUGACUCUCUUAAGGUAGCCAAAUGCCUCGCCAUCUAAUUAGUAACGCGCAUGAAUGUUUUAACGAGAUUCCCACUAUCCCUGUCUACUAUCCAGCAAAACCAUAGUCAAGGGAAAGGGUAUGGCAGAAUCAGCGGGGAAAGAAAACCCUGUUAAGCUUGACUCUAGUCCGACUUUGUGAAAUGACUUGAGAGGUGUAGUAUAAGUGGGAGCCGAAAGGUGAAAGUGAAAUACCACUAAUUUUAACGUUAUUUAUUUAUUCCGUGAAUCGGAAGUCGGGCACUGCCCCUCUUUUUGGACCCAAGGCUCGCACUGCGGGCCGAUCAGGGCAGAAGACAUUGUCAGGUGGGGAGUUUGGCUGGGGCGGCACAUCUGUUAAACGAUAACGCAGGUGUCCUAAGAUGAGCUCAACGAGAACAAAAAUCUCGUGUGGAACAGAAGGGUAAAAGCUCGUUUGAUUAUGAUUUCCAGUACGAAUACGAAUCGUGAAAGCGUGGCCUAACAAUCCUUUAGACCUUCGGAAUUUGAAGCUAGAGGUGUCAGAAAAGUUACCACAGGGAUAACUGGCUUGUGGCAGUCAAGCGUUCAUAGCGACAUUGCUUUUUGAUCCUUCGAUGUCGGCUCUUCCUAUCAUUGUCAAGCAGAAUUCACCAAGUGUUGGAUUGUUCACCCACCAAUAGGGAACGUGAGCUGGGUUUAGACCAUCGUGACACAGGUUAGUUUUACCCUACUGAUGACAGUGUCACAAUAGUAAUUCAACCUAGUACGAGAGGAACCGUAGAUUCACACAAUUGGUCAUCGCGCUUGUUUGAAAAGCCAGUGGCGCGAAGCUACCGUGUGAUGGAUUAUGACUGAACACCUCUAAGUCAGAAUCCGGGCUAGAAGCGACGCAUGCGCCCGCCGUCCGCUUGCCGACCCGUAGUAGGGGCCUCGACCCCCAAGGGCACGUGUCGUUGG